UGGCCAACCUCGCCACCAUUCCCAAGCGCGGC
rnacentral:scRNA from 1 species